rnacentral:antisense_RNA from 1 species
UGCAUCCAGAUGCGAGACGCGAUAGUCCUU